UCUCCGUAGGUGAACCUGCGGAGGGAUCAUUACUGAGUGAGGGUUCCGGCCCGACCUCCAACCCUUUUGUGAACCACCUCGUUGCUUCGGGGGCGACCCUGCCGUCCGCGGCUGAGCGCCCCCGGAGGCCAUUAAACACUGCAUCAUUGCGUCGGAGUUAAAGUAAAUUAAACAAAACUUUCAACAACGGAUCUCUUGGUUCCAGCAUCGAUGAAGAACGCAGC
rnacentral:misc_RNA from 1 species